rnacentral:sRNA from 1 species
GCCGGGCGUGGUGGCGCGCGCCUGUAGUCCCAGCUACUCGGAGGCUGAGGCGGGAGAAUGGCGUGAACCCGGGAGGUGGAGCUUGCAGUGAGCCGAGAUCGCGCCACUGCACUCCAGCCUGGGCGACAGAGCGAGACUCCGUCUCAA